rnacentral:lncRNA from 12 species
GACUACUCUACGCCAGGCCAGAGAGGGAGGCGGUGGCUAUUGAGGCCGAAGGAACAGAGGAGAGGCCCAAAGGCAAGAGAUGGCACAGAGAGUGCACGGAGGAAAAGUGGGAAGCAGAGAGUGGCAAGGAACAAACCCGUGAAUUACUUUACUGGUGCAAACUGGCGAGCCCAACAACUGCAGGGAAAAGAGAUGAAGAGAGUUCAUGGAUGUCAAGUGCUCCCAACUGUGUGCAACAUGCAGAAAUCAUCUCAUCAGUGCUCAGAGACAAAGACCUCUACUUGGAGUGUGAGUGGAUAGGCCUUCUGCAGAUUGUGGUGUUGGUACAGUUUGCUGGAUUUGCAGCUGGCAGUCUUUGUGUUUUCACAUUCUCCACCUCUCCUGCACCUUAGCCAGGUCCCUUCUAUGCUCCCCACAUGCUUCCCAUAAAAUCCUGCUCUUGAAAAAGGCUCUGAUGGAUUUACUCACAGCGACGUGUCAAGGAAAGAUACUGCUCGUCUUAUCCCUAGGGGUGGAUGGGAUUAGAACCAGAAGUUUCCCUCCAGAUGGCACAUCCCAUUGAAAUUUCAAGCUCAGUUGGAGGAAUUUAGAUCUUGGAAAGGUGGACAUAGUUUGAGGAACGGAAUAGGAGUUAACCACACAAUUUCACUGGUCACUGCAGAUAGCCCCAGGGGCUGGGCAGGUCUCAUUGGACCAACAGGGAA